UGUAGAAUACAAAGUUAAUCGCAAGCGUUGUUCGCUUGAUGAUACUCGUUAUAAGAUUGUUUCGUUAUACUAGUUCGCUCAACUGACUGACUUAUUGACUUGAUAUUGAUAUUCAUUCGCACUACUACUGAUUCGUGGAGAACUUGGUCGUCCAUUUAUACUGGUCGGGACGGGGAAUCGGAAGGUUUGAACUUGUCGCCGGUGGUAGGUUGCACGUAGUAGCGAAAUUGCUUUGUCCAGAGAUUGUUCGUUACAUUAUGCACGUCGUACAGUGUUAAUCCUCUGUGGCAAAACAAUUAUAUUUUCGUGCAAAGAGAUAAACUCUGUUCCUCGUACUUUCGAAGAACGUUCUGCAGAGAGAAGUGGCGGCGUAAAUAUACCUGUGCGAACAGUCCGCGGACACGUGUACGGUCAAUUAAAAGCUGGCUUCCAGAGAUGCGAAGAGAGAAUCGAGAAACGUGCAGGAUAGAAAAUUCCUGGCGCGGAAGCCGACCAAUUAAACGAGAUAUUUAUCUACACGCGAUAACCACAGCGACGACUCAAUUAUGACUGUGUUCUCUAUCGCCCAACGGAAAUAUAAUUGCGGUUUCAUUGCUUCUAACGUCUGUAUUUCUUGCAACUGCGCCCGAUAAACUUCGUAUAGUUGCAAACGACCGACGGUGUAACGAAAAAUCAUCCAUAGGUUUCAAAAGUGCCGGCGAAUCUUGAAAUUCCAUUUCUUAUCUCAACGAACAGAUAUUGCUUGUUAAAUAUUAGGAAAAUUCUUAUGAAGUUCAAAUAAUCUGCUUUUGAUAUCGUCUAAACGUUGUUACCAGUAUCGUUAAGUUUGCUGUUGA
rnacentral:misc_RNA from 1 species